UGGCAUAGCUCAGUUGGCAGAGCAUGAGAUUCUUAAUCUCAGGGUUGUGGAUUCAAGUCUCAUAUUGGGCAAAA